UAUUUACACAAAGCACGGGAGACAUGUUAGAGCAGGAAAUACAAGGGCAUUAAUCCUGAGACAACAAGCAGCCUUGGCUGAAAACCGCAGAGUGUGGUUUCAAGGCACGCUCCUGUCUAGCCUGGGCUGUGCAGUGACCAGACAAGUAGUGAACCUGGAGCAUCACCAAAGGCAGGGAAACAAAAACAGAGGAAC